rnacentral:misc_RNA from 1 species
GAUGAAGAACGUAGCGAAAUGCGAUAAGUAGUGUGAAUUGCAGAAUUCAGUGAAUCAUCGAAUCUUUGAACGCACAUUGCGCCCCUUGGUAUUCCAUGGGGCAUGCCUGUUCGAGCGUCAUUAUCACCCCCUCAAGCCCCCGGCUUGGUGUUGGACGGCCUGGUUUCGUUGCACGAAACCCCUCCCAAAGACAAUGACGGCGGCCUGUUCGACCCCGGUACACUGAGCUUAUCAACGUGAGCACGUAUCGGUCUAACGGUUGACGGGACCCGGUCUCCUUCCCCCCUUUUGGCGGGAACAUCUUCUCAAGGUUGACCUCGGAUCAGGUAGGGAUACCCGCUGAACUUAAGCAUAUCAAUAAGCGGAGGA